ACCCAGCCAUCAUCCGUUACCACCGCUACCGUGACCAAGAUCUCGAUCCUGAUUCCGGCCCCUCCCUCCCUGUCCUCGGCGAGCUCGCCGGCGGUGGGAGGGAGUGGGCCGGCCCCCUCCUCUUGUAGAUUAGUAAGCUAGUACUUAGUAGUUUGAGGUUUGCCCGGAUGGACGUCGGGCGGGCCGUGGAGCUCGGCAGCCGCCCACUUGCUGCUGCCUUCGUCGUUGUCGCCGUCGUCCUGGCCGCCGGCAGCUGCGGAUGCAGAAAUCACCCACCUCCGCCCCUGACUUGUCAAGCCUGGUUGCGGAUCUGGUCUUCGGUGCUGCAGAUCGAUGCCUCUGCUCUCCAGAUCUGGCCUCGCUCCUUGUCUCCACCGCGCGGUUUGGCUACGCUUCAGUCCAGCUUCGACAUCUUCGGCUCCACCGUCGCUCACCCUCAAGCAGCUACGCUAUCACAUCCUACAAGCUGCCCAGCUCGUCCUUGGGUUCAACCGUGUUGACGCCCCCGAGUUCGUCGCCGGCCAUCUUGGAGCCCAUUCGAGACAAUCAUCUACAUUUCGGCGCUUCAGUUAAUCCACAUCAACUCCGCCGGAGAUGCUUCGUUCCUGGUCUUGGGGGCUCAUCAUCAACCUCAGCUCUUAGAUGCAGGAGGCCCCUUCCGCCCCGGCGUCCCUAUUGGUGUCAGUCAACUGCAACGACCUCACCGGCGUCAGCAUCGUCGUCCUCAAGGUCUGGUGCCGCGACACGUUAUCUGUCUUCUCUGUAGUAUGCCGACACAUGUUGGGAUAUGUGGAAGUAGCAGGUAUACGUCUCUUUGGUACUGCCUUGUACUACUCACCUUCUUUGAAGGUGAACUCCGUUCUUUGUUUUGUCAUUUUUAAUUGUAUAAUUUUUGGUAUCUAUAUAAAUAUAUAUAUAUAGGUGCAUAGUAAAAUUA